UCCUACGGGAGGCAGCAGUGGGGAGUAUUCCGCAAUGGACGAAAGUCUGACGGAGCGACGCCGCGUGGAUGAAGAAGGCCGAAAGGUUGUAAAAUCCUUUUGCUGAUGAAGAAUAAGUGGUGUAGGGAAUGACAUCAUGAUGACAUUAGUCGGUGAAUAAGCCCCGGCUAACUACGUGCCAGCAGGUAAUA
rnacentral:rRNA from 1 species